rnacentral:rRNA from 1 species
AACGAACGCUGGCGGCAGGCUUAACACAUGCAAGUCGAGCGCCCCGCCAGGGGAGCGGCCGACGGGUGAGUAACGCGUGGGAACGUACCUUUUGGUUCGGAACAACUCCGGGAAACUGGAGCUAAUACCGGAUAAGCCCUAACGGGGAAAGAUUUAUCGCCGAAAGAUCGGCCCGCGUCUGAUUAGCUAGUUGGUGAGGUAACGGCUCACCAAGGCGACGAUCAGUAGCUGGUCUGAGAGGAUGAUCAGCCACACUGGGACUGAGACACGGCCCAGACUCCUACGGGAGGAAGCAGUGGGGAAUAUUGGACAAUGGGCGCAAGCCUGAUCCAGCCAUGCCGCGUGAGUGAUGAAGGCCUUAGGGUUGUAAAGCUCUUUUGUCCGGGAAGAUAAUGACUGUACCGGAAGAAUAAGCCCCGGCUAACUUCGUG